UACCCCUGGCAAUGGACACAAAGACACCUUGUUGGUGGGGUUGUUCCUGUAUCAGUCAAGGGCAGAGCAGAUGGCAGUUCCUUUGUUCAUCCUAGCUUGACAUCUGUCUUGGCGGACAAAGUUGUUUUAUGCCUAGGACUUAUAA